AUGGAUGGAGGAGAAAAUACCUAUGGUGGCUGUGAAAGCCUUAAUGCCGUGCAUACCAAGUUAAAACCUUCAGGUGGUCAUGGAUUUAUUAUUAAAAAAAAAAAAAAAGCAGACAUGCCUUAAUAUCAUGGAACAAUAAAGGAUAUGCUGAGUGGGCCAGGACAGCUUGUGGAGAAUGAAGUCACUGAGGUCCAUUUUAGAGAGUCUUUCACAUUUGCUAUUGAGAGAUGCAUAUAUUUUACCCACAAGUCUGCUACACUAAUAGCUCCAUUGAGAUUCCUGAACUCCCAACUGCACCUGAACUUGCCACUGGAGUUUCCAAUGGCUUCAAACUCCCUAGGUUGUUA
rnacentral:lncRNA from 1 species